CAUUGAAAUUUCUUUCUAUUUAUCUUGUUGGCAAAGUGAAAAGCAAUUUUUGUUUGCUAACGCUGCCUUUUCCCUCGCUGCAUAAAAAAGUGGUGAUGAUAAAAAGAGGGGGGUUUUUCUUAUCUUCUGCAGGGAAGCCCCCAGUGUUCUCAUUUGUAUGUACAGUCUAUCAUUGCUGUUUUAGCCUAUUUUCAUUUUAUUUAUAGCUUUGAAUCACUUAUUAUUUGCUUGGAAAGAAUUUGCCUAGAACUCUUAAUUGGUACACAUAGCAAUUAAAACUUUAUUACUUAAAUAUUUUUCAGAACAGGAAAGAAAAGGUACCCAAAUCAGCAUAAUCAAUUUAGCCAUAAAACCCUAAGUCUGACUUUUUAUUUUAUUUAUGAUACGCAUUUUGUUCUAAUGCUUUGUAAGUAGCAUAGCUGUUCUUUCUAGUUCUACAUAAAUGAGAUUCAUGCCUAAUGUGCCUCCAAUUUUCAAAAACAAUCCUUCAAAUACAGUUUUAACUUGCCAUUAAGACUGUGUCUACCCAUCAUAAAAUGAAUGUUUGGGAAGGAAUUACUGGCGCAUGCAGGGUGUUAGUUUUUUAAUAUGAGAAUCAGUUCUGCCCUGCAAGUCUUUUCAUCACAACUUUCCUGUAGAGAAGUGGAUUUUGCUGUUUUUAGGAGGUAUUUCCAGACAAAAGUCACAUCAAGUCUAUUCCCCAUUGAUUUAACUUUAGCAGUCUUUGUUGUAGACAAAAUUUUACAGAUAGAUAAAAAAAGAUUUAAAAAAUAAAUGUAAUGGUUUGGAAAUGUUUAUUCAGUGUAGGCAGAGCAUCUGUUGGUACCUUAUAUCCCUUGGGAAGAUUUCUGAAAGACUAUAAUGAAUAAAAUGGAAAAAGUUGGAAAUUUAUAGCAACCCAAAAACUAUUCAAAGAAUGAUGAAAAUUACUCUGAAAAGUUCUGAUGAGUAAGUAGUCAGCAAGCAAGCACACACACACACACACACGCACACAUAUGAAGGACUGAAAAUGAGUCCAGCACUGUGCUAGGCACUUUUACUUGCAUUAUCUCAUUUAUUGCCCUCUCUGCUCCACAGAAUUCCACUGAAAAAGGUGUUAUUAGUACCCAUUUUUAAAGCGGAGAAAGCAAAUAACAUAUAUAAAAUCAUUUAAAAACUUAUAAGUUAGAUUGUACAUAAAAAAAGCUCAGAGAAAGAAAGAGAUGAGAGAAGAGAGAGAUUAGUGGCUUUACUGAGGGCUGAAGAUGUCAGAACAGAAAGAUCUUACACAGCCUGGAAAGAUGAUGGCAAUUUGAGAACCUGCUCACCUUCUCCUUUAUGGUAGCUCACUUCCCCUCCUUCAUCUCUGGCGACUGAGAUAUAUGUUUUUAUAAACUUCCAAACUCUAAAUUAUAAGAAUUGUCAAGGCUGUUUUCUACUUUCUAGGACUAUGGAUUUAAACUUGGAAGGGCUUCAAUCAAUUCUUUAUCUCAGUAAAAGAAAAGUGUUUUUGUAACAGGAAAUGAAGGGAUUUAUCUGUAAGCUUACAGAAAAGAUUGAAAACCAGCACUGAAAUCCCAUGAGAGACAGGAGUUCUCCUUAGUUCUCGGUUGGCUCACAUGAUGUAGUACCUGGAGCUGUGCAGCUGGUUUGUAACUAUAAGUUGAUGAACAGAGAUGUUGGGCCUGGCACCAUGGAGCUGUUGAAGACACACCAAAAAAACAGUCUAUCUUUUGACUUCUAUUUUUUCGUGUGGAACAAAACUAUUUUGUUAAAAUGUUAUAGUUGAAUGUAGUUGAAUGCUUUGUUACUUGCAGCUAAAUACAUUCCUAAUAAGUAAAGGAGAGAUUAUAACUAUAAUCUUAUUAUAACUGUCUAUAUUAGCUACUAACUGAAUAUAUUAUAUUUAGGAAAUAAUAAUUAUGGUAAUCUAAAUUAUUAACCCAGUUUUCUCCAAAAUAAUGUAAAUUGGUUUAAUAUGGGUAACUGAAAACAUACAAUAUGGUAAAUGAUGAAAUAAAUAAAUGUCAAAUA